rnacentral:misc_RNA from 1 species
AUGCGCGCCCACUCACGUACACAUACGCACGUAUUCUCACCUUUUCGUACGCAUGCAGCUGCGUGCGCUCACAAACUGCUGUGUGUGUGUGCAAAAAAGGUGUAACCGCUCGUAUAGUUUCAAUUCUCCGGUGACAUCCACGCGCCGCGCAUCACUCACGAAUGCGGCGCUUGUGUGUGGCGCGUUCCCUGCGAAGGACGGCGCUACUGUCCUCCUUUCGCGUCUCCAACUCGGUGAGUGAGGAGAAGGCAAAGUGGGAGCAGAAGAAGAAGGAGGCAGCUGAGAAAGGGUUUGCCCGUCGUGACGGCGCCGAUGACAGGGUGCUCAUGAGUCAGUUGUUCGAGGCCCCCGUGAGCAUCAGCGGCGGCGUCGCAGUGGCCAACCUCCCGCCAAAGCAGCGUGAGACAACUGAUUUUGACGCAUACCAGCUCUCAACCACCGACUUCACUUCUCUCGUCACGCCGCACGGAGCGCCAAGCAAAAGCGGUCUUGGCGCCGGCUUUGGCGUGAAGGAGGAUAAGCGACUCGGGUUCCUGCGGCCGCGGCACCAGUUGCAACCGUACGCCGGGUCCACCUCGAUUGUGCCCAAGUUCGACGAAAAUGGCCUGCCCAUUGACGAGACGCUCACCCCUGAGCAGGUGAUACAGAAGCGAAGGGAGUACAUGAAGAGCUACGAGGGCACCACCAUGGGCGCCAGGGAACACUUUUUACUGGUCGACCUUGACUUUCAAAAAGAUGCGAUGCUGUUUGGCAACACGCGCGAGGAGUUUGAGCGCAAUGUGACGAAGCUCAAGAACGUCAUUAUCGCCUACAACAAGUGGGAGUGGACAGACAACUUCUACUACUACACGACCGUGCUUCUCAAGCUGCUCACGGUAUGGGUACUCAUGGAGUGCCUCCAGCAGUUCUACGAGCUGCGCCUCUUCGCAUCCUACUACGACGACUUUGUCGAAGCGAUGGAGGCAGAGAUGGCCGCGCUCGAGCUGAAGCGCAAGGCCGACCUCGCAGAUGCCGCGGAAGAGCUGCGCCGUCACAAGCCGGACUUCAAAUCCGUACUGGAGGCCAUUGCGCGUAAGCGCGACCAUCUCGCCGACGUGGAGGCGCGGGCGGCAGAGGAGGCGGUGCGUCAAAAAGAGGCGGAAUCGGAGGAGCAGGCAAGGCCCACUGCAAGCGGACUAGCUGAUUUGUUGUGGGAGGCGUUGAGGGUGAACAAGGGCUGCGCAUCGACGAAGGCGGAGACGGUCGCCAAGCUGUCGCCCCUCGACAUCAAGAACCCCAGCGCCUCACACCCGAUGGACACAACGUUUGAGGAGCGCCACAAUGAGCAGCGCCGCGAGGCCGACGAGGCGCGUGAGAUGCGCCGUCUGACCGCGCUCAGUCGCAGCUCCGCUCAUGAAGGCGUGUGGUCCCAUGUCUGGAAUCGCAUUUGCGGCAUUUUUCAUGCCCAGCGGUGCCUGCGUCGCGAGGAGGUGGUGCAGUACACGUACGCCGGGGCUCCCACCAGUAUACCUUCCAUGCGUGCACUGCGCCGCAUUCUGCUGCCACGCUCUGAGGAUGUAGUGCAAAUUGUGCGGGAAGAAAUGAUAGCCUACAAGCAGGAGAAAGCGCGGAGUUACGCGCACCCGCUGUAGACGGUGCGCGCAAAGACAGAAUUGCAUGGAUUCUGAGAUGGAGGAGGGGAGAGGCUUGAAAGUACCCUUCUCUUCUUCCCACCUCACCAACACCAGCACCCGUUCUUUCUGCUCUCUAAUCGAGUCCUUCUCGUGUGGUUCUCGUUUUCGUUCACAGACUCGGAUGCUGCCGAGUAUGGCGACCUUCCAACCACCUCUCGACCUACCAGCUCCAUUCGCAGAUAACGUAAUGCGUGUACCGAAUAAGCCGAAGAAUGCUUG